CCUACGGGUGGCAGCAGUGAGGAAUAUUGGUCAAUGGACGCAAGCCUGACCCAGCCAAGUCGCGUGAAGGAUGAAUGCCCUAGGGUUUGUAAGCUUCUUUUUUAAAGGAAUAAAAUGAGGCUCGUGGGCCUUUAUGCAUGUACUUUAUGAAUAAGGAUCGGCUAACUACGUGCCAGCAGCCGCGGUAAUACGGAGGAUCCGGGGGUUAUCCGGAUUUAUUGGGGUUAAAGGGAGCGUAGAUGGGUUGUUAAGUCAGUUGUGAAAGUUUGCGGCUCAACCGCAAAAUUGCAAUUGAUACUGGCAGUCUUGAGUACAGGUGAGGCAGGCGGAAUUCGUGGUGUAGCGGUGAAAUGCGUAGAUAUCAGGAAGAACCCCGAUUGCGAAGGCAGCUUACUAAACAGUGACUGACAUUGAUGCGCGAAAGUGUGGGUAUCAAACAGGAUUAGAUACCCCAGUAGUC
rnacentral:rRNA from 1 species